ACUCAAAUGAAUAGACGGGGACCCGCACAAGCGGUGGAUUAUGUGGAUUAAUUCGAUGCAACGCGAAAAACCUUACCUACCCUUGACAUGUCCGGGAGCCUGCUGAGAGGCGGGUGUGCUCGAAAGAGAACCGGAACACAGGUGCUGCAUGGCUGUCGUCAGCUCGUGUCGUGAGAUGUUGGGUUAAGUCCCGCAACGAGCGCAACCCUUGCCAUUAGUUGCCACCCGAAAGGGGGCACUCUAAUGGGACUGCCGGUGACAAACCGGAGGAAGGUGGGGAUGACGUCAAGUCCUCAUGGCCCUUAUGGGUAGGGCUUCACACGUAAUACAAUGGCGCGUACAGAGGGUUGCCAAGGGGCGACCUGGAGCCAAUCCCUUAAAGCGCGUCGUAGUCCGGAUUGCAGUCUGCAACUCGACUGCAUGAAGUCGGAAUCGCUAGUAAUCGCGGAUCAGCAUGUCGCGGUGAAUACGUUCCCGGGUCUUGCACACACCGCCCGU
rnacentral:rRNA from 1 species